UACGGAGGGGGCAAGCGUUAUUCGGAAUCAUUGGGCGUAAAGGGCGUGUAGGCGGCUAUGUUUGUCUCAUGUGAAAGCCCUCGGCUCAACCGGGGAACUGCAUGGGAAACGGCAUGGCUUGAGUCCGGGAGAGGAUAGUGGAAUUCCCAGUGUAGCGGUGAAAUGCGUAGAUAUUGGGAGGAACACCAGUGGCGAAGGCGGCUUCCUGGUCCAGCACCGACGUUCAGGCACGAAAGCGUGGGGAGCAAACAGG
rnacentral:rRNA from 1 species